UACGUAGGGUGCGAGCGUUGUCCGGAAUUAUUGGGCGUAAAGAGCUCGUAGGCGGUCUGUCGCGUCGAUCGUGAAAACUUGGGGCUUAACCCUGAGCUUGCGGUCGAUACGGGCAUGACUGGAGUUCGGCAGGGGAGACUGGAAUUCCUGGUGUAGCGGUGAAAUGCGCAGAUAUCAGGAGGAACACCGGUGGCGAAGGCGGGUCUCUGGGCCGUAACUGACGCUGAGGAGCGAAAGCGUGGGGAGCAAACAGG
rnacentral:rRNA from 1 species